GAUGAAGAACGUAGCGAAAUGCGAUAAGUAGUGUGAAUUGCAGAAUUCAGUGAAUCAUCGAAUCUUUGAACGCACAUUGCGCCCCUUGGUAUUCCAUGGGGCAUGCCUGUUCGAGCGUCAUUUGUACCCUCAAGCUUUGCUUGGUGUUGGGUGUUUGUCUCGCCUUUGCGUGUAGACUCGCCUUAAAAUAAUUGGCAGCCGGCGUAUUGAUUUCGGAGCGCAGUACAUCUCGCGCUUUGCACUCAUAACGACAGCGUCCAAAAGUACAUUUUACACUCUUGACCUCGGAUCAGGUAGGGAUACCCGCUGAACUUAAGCAUAUCAAUAAGCGGAGGA
rnacentral:misc_RNA from 1 species